GAUCGUGUGUCUAUCAGAGGAGGUCAGGAAUCAGAUGGAGGUGGAGAAGAAGGUGCAGUAGAAGAGCCAGCAUACAGCCAGCAUAGAAGAGAAGAUCCACAGGCUGAGAUGCCAGCUCUGGGAGGGGUCCUGAACAUGGAGGGUUCCCAGCCCUGUUGGACAGAAAAGCAACUCACUCAGAGACCGAACACCAAGCCAUACAGCAUGAGGUACAGUGAGUUCCUUAUGUACAACUCUGUCCAUAAAGGAAGAAGAGCUGAUCACUGCUAAAGGCCAGCAGGAUGAGUUGAGACAGCGGCUGAAGAACCAGUUUGACCAGCUACAGGCCAUGUCCAGGAAGUUAUGAACAUGCUUUGAGUGUGUAGAUUAGGUUAUAUCUAUAACUGUCAAUCAAACCUGGGUCAAAUAUGUAUUUCAAAUUAUUUAAAUAUUUAUGGGGGAAAUAUUGCAGGCUUAAGGAUUUAUACAAGCAUAAAUCUUACUCUGUUAAUCUUAGCUUUGCGCUAUACCCUGAGAAAGCAGGAAACGACUGGUUUCAUUAGACUUGUCUGACCCUGUUCAAGUGGGUCUGUACGGGAUACGGUUCCUGUUUUCUCAUGUGAUGAAGUAUGAGAUGCUUAGCAACACUGCAAAAUGUGUAACCAUAUAUGGACAUAUGGCUCUUUGCCAGCUGGCAAAGAUGGACGCUAAGGAAAGCUAUAAAAGACCAUUUAAAAUGUGUUUGGGGGGUCUUCGCUGUGUACCAUUUUGGGUCUAUGCUAACCAGCUACAUUUUUGCUAAUCUUAUUAAUAUAGAACUUUGCUGUUUGAGAGAACCUGCAACCUCUCUUGCUUUUCCCUUUAAUGUUUAGAAUUUCCACGACAUACUUCAGGUGCUCAUGAUUUAGCUCAACCAGCAGGCAGAGUUAGCACCUUUGGGACACUUCAGUUCUUUCCAUUGUGCCUAGAUCAAGCACACCUAAAGUCCUUUCAAAUACACUGUGAAUGUGACUUUUCUAAGAACUGCCUUUAAAUUCAGUUCUCUUGUUUACGGGAAGGUGUGAGGAACUCUUGAUAAUGCUGGAAGAGGAGAAUGGAACUUGUGAUAUGAUAACUUUUAAGCUACACUUCCUCUUAAGGAUCAGACUCUUUUUUUAAAUUUUCGCCUAAAAUGACAGACCCAAAUCUAACUGUCUGAAGCUCAGGGCCUCAAGCAAGGAUAUGCAUUUUCUUGGUACCAUUUGAAAUGAAACACUUUGAAGUUUGUGGAAAUGUGAAUCAGUGUAGAUGAAGGGAUGGUAGACAUGUUAAAGAAAGGUUUUUAAGCCUUGAGACAAUUUAGAAAUGGAUUGUGUAUGUGUGCCAUUCAGCAGAUAAAUGGGCAAGACAAAAGAUGUAAGUGCCUUUGACCAGGAUGUGGUAGUAGGUGGCAGGUCCACCAGUUUGUAUCAAGAACUGCAACACUGCUGUGUUUUUUCACACUCAACAGUUAUUGUCCUGUGUGUAUCAAGAAUGGUCCAACACCCAAAGGACACCCAGCAAACUUGACACAAUUUUGGGAAGCCUUGGAGUCAAGAUUGGCCAGCAUCCCUGUGGAACCCUUUCGACACCUUGUGGAGUCCAUGCCCCGACAAAUUGAGGCUGUUCUGAGGGCAAAAGGGGGUGCAACUCAAUAUUUAGAACGUGUUACUAAUGUUUCUUAUACUCAGUGUAUGAGCAUCAUCUAGUAAAAACAUAUGGAUGUAAAGGAAGGAAGUUUCACCCACAGCGAUUAUGGAUUAGGUUUUUCACUGGAA